rnacentral:rRNA from 1 species
UACAGAGGUGGCAAGCGUUGUUCGGAAUUACUGGGCGUAAAGGGCGCGUAGGCGGCCUACUAAGUCAGGCGUGAAAGCCCCGGGCUCAACCUGGGAACCGCGCUUGAGACUGGCAUGCUCGAGUUCGGGAGAGGAUGGUGGAAUUCCCAGUGUAGGAGGUGAAAUUCGUAGAUAUUGGGAAGAACACCGAUGGCGAAGGCAGCCAUCUGGACCGACACUGACGCUGAGGCGCGAAAGCGUGGGGAGCAAACAGG